rnacentral:pre_miRNA from 1 species
UCCUAACUCCCUCCGAUCCAUAUUAAUUUUCGAAAUAUUACAUGUAUCUAGAUGUUUUUUAGGCAUAGAUACAUUCAUAUUUGGAUAAAUUUGAGACAAUUAAUAUGGAUCGGAGGGAGUAUCAG